UACGAAGGUGGCAAGCGUUACUCGGAAUUACUAGGCGUAAAGGGCAGGUAGGCGGUCUUGUUAGUCUGUUGUGAAAGCUCCUUGCUUAACGGGGAGAGGCCAACAGAUACUGCGAGGCUUGAGUAUAGGAGAGGGUACUGGAAUUCCCGGUGUAGCGGUGAAAUGCGCAGAUAUCAGGAGGAACACCGAUGGCGAAGGCAGCUCGCUGGGACGGUACUGACGCUGAGACGCGAAAGCGUGGGGAGCAAACAGG
rnacentral:rRNA from 1 species